AUGGUAACUAAUGUACGUUCUGAAACUAAUGUAAUGACUGUAUGUACUGUAUCUACUGUAACGAAUGUACCUACUGUAUCUACUGUAACUACUGUAACUAAUGUAUCUACAGUAACUACUGUAACUACUGUAUCUACGGUAACUAAUGUAUCUACUGUAUCUAAUGUAACUAAUGUACCUACUGAUUAUAAUGUACCUACUGUAUCUACCGUAUCUACUGUAACUAAUAUACCUAUUGUAUCUAGAGUAACUAAUGUAACUACUGUAACUACUGUAACUACUGUACAUACUGUAACUACUGUAUAUACUGUACCUACGGUAACUAAUGUACCUAAUGUACCUACAGUAACUACUUUAAUGACUGUAUGUACUGUAUCUAUGGUAACUAACGUAACUACUGAAACUAAUGUAAUGCCUGUAUGUACUGUAUCUACUAUAACUAAUGUACCUACUGUUACUGAUGUGCCUACUGUACCUACUGUAUCUACUGUACUUACUGUAACUAAUGUAUCUACGGUAACUACUGUAACUACUGUACCUACUGUAUCUAGAGUAACUAAUGUACCCACUGUAACUGCUUUUUCUACUGUAACUAAUGUACCUACUGUAUCUACUGUAUCUACGGUAACUAAUGUACCUAUUGUUACUAAUAUACCUGCUGUAUUUACUGUAUCUACUGUAACUAAUGCACCUACUGAAUCUACUGUAUAUACGGUAACUAAUGUACCUACUGUUACUAAUAUACCUACUGUAUCUACUGUAUCUACUGUAUCUACUGUAACUAAUGGACCUACUGAAUCUACUGUCUCUAAGGUAACUAAUGUACCUACUGUUACUAAUAUACCUACUGUAUCUACUGUAACUAAUGUACCUACUGUAUUUAAUGUAUAUAUGGUAACUAAUGUACCUACUGUUACUAAAAUACCUACUGUAUCUACUGUAUCUACGGUAACUCAUGUACCUACUGUUACUAAUAUACCUACUGUAUCUACUGUAUCUACUGUAACUAAUGUACCUACUGUAUUUACUGUAUAUAUGGUAACUAAUGUACCUACUGUUACUAAUACACCUACUGUAUCUACUGUAUCUACGGUAACUAAUGUGCCUACUGUUACUUAUAUACCUACUGUAUCUACUGUACCUACUGUAUCUACUGUAACUAAUGUACCUACUGUAUCUAUGGAUACUAAUGUACCGACUGUUACUUAUAUACCUACUGUACCUACUGUAUCUACUGUAUCUUCUGUAACUAUUGUACCUACUGUUACUAAUAUACCUACUGUAUCUACUGUAUCUACUGUAUCUACUGUAUCUACUGUACCUACGGUAACUAAUGUACCUACUGGUAUUAAUAUACCUACUGUAUCUACUGUAUCUACUGUAUCUACUGUAUCUACUGUAACUAAUGUACCUUCUGUAUCUACUGUACCUACGGUAACUAAUGUACCUACUGUUACUAAUGUACCUACUGUAUCUACUGUAUCUACUGUAACUAAUGUACCUACUGUAUCUACUGUAUCUACUGUAACUAAUGUACCUACUGUUACUUAUAUACCUACUGUAUCUACUGUAUCUACUGUAACUAAUGUACCUACUGUAUCUAUGGAUACUAAUGUACCGACUGUUACUUAUAUACCUAUUGUAUCUACUGUAUCUUCUGUAAAUAAUGUACCUACUGUAUAUACGGUAACUAAUGUACCUACUGUUACUAAUAUACCUACUGUAACUACUGUACAUACUGUAACUACUGUAUCUACUGUACCUACGGUAACUAAUGUACCUAAUGUACCUACAGUAACUACUUUAAUGACUGUAUGUACUGUAUCUAUGGUAACUAAUGUAACUACUGAAACUAAUGUAAUGCCUGUAUGUACUGUAUCUACUAUAACUAAUGUACCUACUGUUACUAAUGUGCCUACUGUAUCUACUGUACUUACUGUAACUAAUGUAUCUACGGUAACUACUGUAACUACUGUACCUACUGUAUCUAGAGUAACUAAUGUACCUACUGUAACUGCUUUUUCUACUGUAACUACUGUACCUACUGUAUCUGCUGUAUAA
ensembl:lncRNA